CCUACGGGGGGCAGCAGUGGGGAAUAUUGCGCAAUGGGCGAAAGCCUGACGCAGCGACGCCGCGUGAGGGAUGAAGGUCUUCGGAUUGUAAACCUCUGUCAGCAGGGAAGAACGGUCACUGUGCUAAUCAGCAGUGAAUUGACGGUACCUGCAAAGGAAGCACCGGCUAACUCCGUGCCAGCAGCCGCGGUAAUACGGAGGGUGCGAGCGUUAAUCGGAAUUACUGGGCGUAAAGCGCUCGUAGGCGGUAUGUCAAGUCAAGGGUGAAAUCCCCGCGCUCAACCUGGGAACUGCCUUUGAGACUGGCAGACUAGAGUGUGUUAGAGGAAAGUGGAAUUCCAGGUGUAGGGGUGAAAUGCGUAGAGAUCUGGAGGAACAUCAGUGGCGAAGGCGACUAUCUGGCACAAAACUGACGCUGAGGAGCGAAAGCGUGGGUAGCAAACAGGAUUAGAUACCCGAGUAGUC
rnacentral:rRNA from 1 species